rnacentral:hammerhead_ribozyme from 1 species
GCCUAGCUGACGAGUCCCGAAUAGGACGAAACGUGCGCCCUGGAU